GCUGCGGUGUCCGAGUGGUUAAGGAGAUGGACUUUGAAAUCCAUUGGGCCCUGCCCGCGCAGGUUCGAAUCCUGUCCGCAGCG